UACGUAGGUGGCAAGCGUUGUCCGGAAUUAUUGGGCGUAAAGCGUGCGCAGGCGGUUUUGCAAGCCGGAUGUGAAAUCCCCCGGGCUCAACCUGGGAAUGGCAUCUGGGACUGCAAGGCUCGAGUGCGGCAGAGGAGACUGGAAUUCCUGGUGUAGCAGUGAAAUGCGUAGAUAUCAGGAGGAACACCGGUGGCGAAAGGCGGGUCUCUGGGCCGUAAACUGACGCUGAGGAGCGGAAAGCAUGGGGAGCGAACAGG
rnacentral:rRNA from 1 species